AUUGAACGCUGGCGGCAUGCCUUACACAUGCAAGUCGAACGGAUUCAAGAGGCUUGCUUCUUGAGUUAGUGGCGAACGGGUGAGUAAAGCAUCGGAACGUACCCAGUUGUGGGGGAUAACGUAGCGAAAGUUACGCUAAUACCGCAUACGCACUGAGGUGGAAAGCGGGGGACCGAAAGGCCUCGCGCAAUUGGAGCGGCCGAUGUAGGAUUAGACAGUUGGUGAGGUAAAGGCUCACAAAGGCGACGAUCCGUAGCUGGUCUGAGAGGACGACCAGCCACACUGGAACUGAGACACGGUCCAGACUCCUACGGGAGGCAGCAGUGGGGAAUUUUGGACAAUGGGCGAAAGCCUGAUCCAGCCAUGCCGCGUGAGUGAAGAAGGCCUUCGGGUUGUAAAGCUCUUUCAGACGGAAAGAAACCUUUCGGGUGAAUAUCCCGGAAGGAUGACGGUACCGUAAGAAGAAGCACCGGCUAACUACGUGCCAGCAGCCGCGGUAA
rnacentral:rRNA from 1 species